ACCCAGUUAGUUCAGUUGUUUAGAACGCCACACUAUCAAAGUGGAAACGCGGGUUCAAUUCCUGCACUGGGUC